UUAACCGCACCCAACGAGGGUGUCUUUUAUUUCGUAGUUGUUAGUAUAAUACCGAGCAUCAUGUAUGGUGGUCGUGAAUCCUGAUGGAAACAUUUUUUUGUAGUAAGUACACAAGUAUCGGACUAUUGGAGACCAGAAUACAGGCGUCGUAUACAUUCCAAAACCAGUGAUCCUUAUAACGUUAUACUACUCAAAGUAAUGAUGUCGAUUCUGGAAGAAAUGGAUUUUUACUGAUAGAACAAAAUCUUUUAAGAGAGAAACAUUGAAAAUACCGUUAUAAAUAAUGUAGAAGCACCAAGUUGGUCAAGUAGAAAAAUUAAAUUUAUAUUCAAACAGUUAUUGAAACAGAUGUUGUACCAGUGUUAAACAAUUACUAAGGAUUUGGGACAUUAUUCUUCUUUACCUGGCUACAUAACUGAUGCUGAUGAAGAGGAGGUUGAACCACCAUUUUUCCGCCACCAAUAAAAUGUGUAAUUGAAGAAGUAAAACCAAUAGCGCCAUAUUCUAUGCCGGUACUAAUUAAAGCUGUGUGUUUGGCCUCCAAUGAUAUUCAUGUAUUGAGCAUAAUAUGAAUGUCAAUUCAAAAGCAUAAUAUGUUAUAAUGCUGAUGUACAGGUGUAAAAAAAAAAAAUUAAGAAUGUACUAG